UCAACGAAGGAGUCUUUACGCAGUUGCUUGACCUGCUUGGAAUUACAAACAAAUCUCCCAAAUCACACAUAACCAUCUUAAAAAAACGAAGGACCAAAUUGAUAUAUCACUCUACGUCUUGUGUUACGUAUGACAUCUUUAAUUAGGCAGUCUAGACCUUUAAAUUUAAAAAAAAUGUUAUUUAACUUAUAUUAUUUUAUAUUUUAACUGUGUGUUUUUUAAAUAUAUCUUUACAUUCUUUAUUUUUUCUUUACUUAUCUGUUAAACUUUUCUUUUCCUGAAAUUAAUUGAAAAUACUAAAAGCUCCCCUAUUUAAUCACAAUAAUUCUAUGUUAAUAAUUGCCAAAGAGUAAGACUCAAUAUAUUUUAUGGGAUAAGUUUAAGUUUUAAUAGUUUAAUCAAUAGAUGAAGAAAUUUUUCGAAAAAUAUUUAUUAAAUAAAUUGAAACAAAUUUUUUUAUAUGAAAUAAAUCUAUGAAAGCUUAAGCUUUUGUUUCCUGUUUGAUUCAUCCAGUGGAAUUGGUCAGAAAGCUUAUUUGAAGAAUUAACUGAGAUCACCUUGCAUCAAUAAAGAAAGAAGUUCAUUUUAACAGAAGUGCAUAUUUUACAACUGAUCCCAAUAUACUGGUAUCAAGGCUGGAUUAAGAUCAUCUGAUGAAGGCUAAACACAGCCAAACAAUGUUGCCGAUGCAAAUCCUUCAAUUUAGAUACAAGUGCUGAAUGGGAAAAAAAUAGAUUGAAAAUCCAGUUUUCUUUCAAUCAAUACACCUCAACUAAAUAUAACCUGUAUUUUAAAAAAUGAAUAGAUUUACUUAUAAGAACAGGGUAAAGAUUCAAAUUCUCAGCCUUUUUUUAAUUCUUAAAAAAUGUCAAUUUACCAUUUGUGCCAUGGUAAAUCCAGCACUAUAAAAAAAAAUCCAUAGUACCAUCCCCUUCCCUUGGUGCCCUAAGCACGUGCUUCUUUUGUUAAAUGGUUUCUCUGGUCCUGAUUGGAAAUAAUCAUCGUAUUGGAUCCAGAAAAAUAGCAUCCAUAAUUGUUUUCGAUUGAUUGUAAACAUAGGUAUGCUAUUCUAUGAUGGUUCUGUAAUUUAAAGGGAAAUUAAAAUGAAAUAAAAAGUGACAAUAGGGAAGCUAAUUAUUGAUUUUUGUUCUGUUGUUUAGCUUUCGGUUAUCAUUUUCAUAUUCGUAAUAAUUUUCCCCGAAAAUUACGUACGGAACCGUUUAUUAAAAUAUAACGUUGAACUAGUGUGAAUAAUAGUUUGAAAGGCAGUCCGCAAUUACUUUUGAGAGAACUACAAUACGACGAAGAGGAGAAAAUGUCAUUUUCAUAAAUAUAUGACCUGAAAGAGCUUCCGUAUAUAUUUAAUUGUUGGUGAUGAGUUUACUUCCGCUGAAGCAGCACUCAGAACUGUGACGUCAUCACAUUAUGGCGCAGGAAGUGUGAACAGGUGCCUGUUGUUAUUCGAUAAAAAUGGUUCCCAUCACAUUUUUGGUUAAUAAUCUCUCUGGUUAUCAGGUUUUUUUAAGGAUUAACUAUAGUCAAGGUUA